UCCGAAGGGGGCUAUCGUUGUUCGGAAUUACUGGGCGUAAAGCGCACGUAGGCGGAUUUGUUAGUCAGGGGUGAAAUCCCGGGGCUCAACCUCGGAACUGCCUUUGAUACUGCAAGUCUAGAGUCCGGAAGAGGUGAGUGGAAUUCCUAGUGUAGAGGUGAAAUUCGUAGAUAUUAGGAAGAACACCAGUGGCGAAGGCGGCUCACUGGUCCGGUACUGACGCUGAGGUGCGAAAGCGUGGGGAGCAAACAGG
rnacentral:rRNA from 1 species